AACGCACCUUGCGCUCCUUGGUAUUCCGAGGAGCAUGCCUGUUUGAGUGUCAUUAAAUUCUCAACCCUCUCAUCCUUUCUGGACGGGGGCGGCUUGGAUUGUGGAGGCUUUGCUGGUCCCUUGGGAUUGGCUCCUCUGAAAUGUAUUAGUGGAACCGUUUGCGAUCUGCCACAGGUGUGAUAAUUAUCUACGCCCAGGGAUUGCUCUCAGUGCUCUGCUGCUAAUUGUCCAUAUGGACAACUUGAUCAAUGAUCAAUGAACGUUUGACCUCAAAUCAGGUAGGACUACCCGCUGAACUUAA
rnacentral:misc_RNA from 1 species